UACAGAGGUCCCGAGCGUUGUUCGGAUUCACUGGGCGUAAAGGGUGCGUAGGUGGUGAGGUAAGUCGGAUGUGAAAGCUCGGAGCUCAACUCCGAAAUGGCAUUGGAAACUACCUUGCUCGAGGGUUGGAGGGGGGACUGGAAUGCUUGGUGUAGCAGUGAAAUGCGUAGAUAUCAAGCGGAACACCAGUGGCGAAGGCGAGUCCCUGGACAACUCCUGACACUGAGGCACGAAAGUCAGGGGAGCAAACGGG
rnacentral:rRNA from 1 species